rnacentral:ncRNA from 1 species
UAAAUAACGUUGAACAGAAGAGUAAAUAGACUUAAAUUAUCAGAGAGUUUCUGGAUGGUGUGAAGAAACAAUUGAGUGUAUUGAAACACAUCUGCGAGUAUUGUACGCUGAACAAAUUAGGUGUACACGGGAAAGCCCGUUACUGCUGUAGUUCAUUGAACUACCUGAGGUAUUGCUUGUGAAAGUGAUACAAAUUAGAGGUGGAAUCACGAAAUCAAUCGUCCUCUUG